UACGUAGGGACCGAGCGUUGUCCGGAAUCAUUGGGCGUAAAGAGCGUGUAGGCGGCCCGAUAAGUCCGCUGUAAAAGUCCAGGGCUCAACCCUGGAAAGCCGGUGGAUACUGUCGGGCUAGAGUCCGGAAGAGGCGAGUGGAAUUCCUGGUGUAGCGGUGGAAUGCGCAGAUAUCAGGAGGAACACCGAUGGCGAAGGCAGCUCGCUGGGACGGUACUGACGCUAAGGCGCGAAAGCGUGGGGAGCGAACAGG
rnacentral:rRNA from 1 species